rnacentral:rRNA from 1 species
GGUUAAGCGACUAAGCGUACACGGUGGAUGCCUAGGCAAUCAGAGGCGAUGAAGGACGUGCUAAUCUGCGAUAAGCGUCGGUAAGGUGAUAUGAACCGUUACAACCGACGAUUUCCGAAUGGGGAAACCCAGUGCAAUUCGUUGCACUAUCGUUUGAUGAAUACAUAGUCAAACGAAGCGAACCGGGGGAACUGAAACAUCUCAGUACCCCGAGGAAAAGAAAUCAACCGAGAUUCCCCUAGUAGCGGCGAGCGAACGGGGAGCAGCCCAGAGUCUUAAUCAGCAUUAGCAUCAGGAGAACGGUCUGGAAAGUCCGGCAGUAAAGGGUGAUAGCCCCGUAUCCGAAGGUGUUAGUGUUGUGAACUCGACGAGUAGGGCGGGACACGUGUUAUCCUGUCUGAAUAUGGGGGGACCAUCCUCCAAGGCUAAAUACUCCUGAUUGA